AACCUUCACUCAUUGACGGCCUCUUUUCUAAUCAAAGGAACUUGUUAUAUCAUCGAAAUUACCCGUUUAUUUUCCCUCACUUCUAAAGCUUUUAUACCGUCGUCUUAAGAAGAAACUCAAUAGUAAUUUUCGAAAUUAAUCAAUUAAACAAGUCAGAUCAAGG
rnacentral:rRNA from 1 species